GUGGUUUGAACCUUGACUUGCUUUUAUCCUUUAGGUCUUGUAGCUACAACUCUGCAUUCUGACCAAGACUAUUACUGUAGUGAUGGGUAGUGAAAAGUAAAGCCAACUGGAAUGAUUUUCUGUGAAGAGAAAGGGAAGUGCUAUGCUGAAAUUAAGAAUCAAACACAAGAAAUUUCUCUCCUAAUCAACAGUAUACAUACUGUCAUACUGUAAUUGGGAAAUGGAGGAACGUGAGUGACACUCACAUGACCCUAGAAGAACUCCAGCAUGUCAGAAAUUGUACUGGUGCAGCAGAAGAUGUGACCUCUGUCUGGAAAACCUUGCCUUGUACAUCUAAAAGUGUAGAGAAAAUAUAGACACUGACAAGUGAAGAGAGUAAGAAGACACUGAGUUAGUAAUG
ensembl:lncRNA